rnacentral:rRNA from 1 species
GCGCGAUACAGGGUGACAGCCCCGUACACAAAAAUGCACAUGCUGUGAGCUCGAUGAGUAGGGCGGGACACGUGGUAUCCUGUCUGAAUAUGGGGGGACCAUCCUCCAAGGCUAAAUACUCCUGACUGACCGAUAGUGAACCAGUACCGUGAGGGAAAGGCGAAAAGAACCCCGGCGAGGGGAGUGAAAAAGAACCUGAAACCGUGUACGUACAAGCAGUGGGAGCACGCUUAGGCGUGUGACUGCGUACCUUUUGUAUAAUGGGUCAGCGACUUAUAUUCUGUAGCAAGGUUAACCGAAUAGGGGAGCCGAAGGGAAACCGAGUCUUAACUGGGCGUUAAGUUGCAGGGUAUAGACCCGAAACCCGGUGAUCUAGCCAUGGGCAGGUUGAAGGUUGGGUAACACUAACUGGAGGACCGAACCGACUAAUGUUGAAAAAUUAGCGGAUGACUUGUGGCUGGGGGUGAAAGGCCAAUCAAACCGGGAGAUAGCUGGUUCUCCCCGAAAGCUAUUUAGGUAGCGCCUCGUGAAUUCAUCUCCGGGGGUAGAGCACUGUUUCGGCAAGGGGGUCAUCCCGACUUACCAACCCGAUGCAAACUGCGAAUACCGGAGAAUGUUAUCACGGGAGACACACGGCGGGUGCUAACGUCCGUCGUGAAGAGGGAAACAACCCAGACCGCCAGCUAAGGUCCCAAAGUCAUGGUUAAGUGGGAAACGAUGUGGGAAGGCCCAGACAGCCAGGAUGUUGGCUUAGAAGCAGCCAUCAUUUAAAGAAAGCGUAAUAGCUCACUGGUCGAGUCGGCCUGCGCGGAAGAUGUAACGGGGCUAAACCAUGCACCGAAGCUGCGGCAGCGACACUGUGUGUUGUUGGGUAGGGGAGCGUUCUGUAAGCCUGCGAAGGUGUGCUGUGAGGCAUGCUGGAGGUAUCAGAAGUGCGAAUGCUGACAUAAGUAACGAUAAAGCGGGUGAAAAGCCCGCUCGCCGGAAGACCAAGGGUUCCUGUCCAACGUUAAUCGGGGCAGGGUGAGUCGACCCCUAAGGCGAGGCCGAAAGGCGUAGUCGAUGGGAAACAGGUUAAUAUUCCUGUACUUGGUGUUACUGCGAAGGGGGGACGGAGAAGGCUAUGUUGGCCGGGCGACGGUUGUCCCGGUUUAAGCGUGUAGGCUGGUUUUCCAGGCAAAUCCGGAAAAUCAAGGCUGAGGCGUGAUGACGAGGCACUACGGUGCUGAAGCAACAAAUGCCCUGCUUCCAGGAAAAGCCUCUAAGCAUCAGGUAACAUCAAAUCGUACCCCAAACCGACACAGGUGGUCAGGUAGAGAAUACCAAGGCGCUUGAGAGAACUCGGGUGAAGGAACUAGGCAAAAUGGUGCCGUAACUUCGGGAGAAGGCACGCUGAUAUGUAGGUGAAGUCCCUCGCGGAUGGAGCUGAAAUCAGUCGAAGAUACCAGCUGGCUGCAACUGUUUAUUAAAAACACAGCACUGUGCAAACACGAAAGUGGACGUAUACGGUGUGACGCCUGCCCGGUGCCGGAAGGUUAAUUGAUGGGGUCAGCGCAAGCGAAGCUCUUGAUCGAAGCCCCGGUAAACGGCG